CAAAGAUAUAUUUUAUUUUAGGAAACACUUCCUCUGCCUCACGUGAAUCCCACUAGCACCCAACACAUACACAACACAACCAAGAAGAAAGAACACAGGACCAGGAAGUGACAUCACACACAACCAGGAAGUAGGAAAAUACAAAGAACCAGGAAGUGAUAUCACAAACAACCAGGAAAUGACAUCACACAAGCAGGAAGUAAGAAAAUACAAAGAACCAGAACGUGAUGUAAUGCUGCCUUCAAAACAGCUCCGAGGUUCUGAAGCUCUGACAUGUUUUUGCGCAAACCGUCCAUUCUUCCGAAAUAAGAGUUCAGAAAACGCCCCUAAGAAGUUUGUAGGCUAAGACAUGAAACCGGAGGACUCGGGUAUCUUUACUUCCGCACAAAACUCCCAGCUUUGUUUGCUUCCAAACCAGGAAGCAAAACAAUACAAUAUACGAAAAUGAGGCAGGCCCGGAGAACAGUGUAGGUGUCGAAUAACAUGACUGUACCAUCGGCUGUAAAUAAUAACAUAUUUAAUCACAUCACAACUAUACACAAACUGAAGCUUUACACCAUCAUCACCCCCAUCGUCUUCCUCCUCUCAAGCCUUUCUGAUCCGAGCGUUCGCUGGUAUUUGUGGAUCACUUGUAUAACUGGAUAGGCUAGUAUUUGCUAGCCACCAGCUAACCUUAUGUCUCCAAACAAAUGCUGAAAUAGGAUUCAUGAAUCCCCCUGUUGAAGUACCAUAACUUAUUACAGACGACAUAUCCCAUCGUGGAUAAGUGUGAAUCCAUGGUAACUACGGCAACAAUAGAACAUAUAGAGCAAUAUUACGGUGCUACACUACAUUAACAUUUAGCAUUAAACCUUUUAGAGCUGAAGAACAGAUCCUAGAGCAAAAACAUAUUCAACAUAACCCGGAAAAAAAAAAAGACAUUAAACAUCGUACAUCCGAACAAAAAGACAUUAAUCAUCGUACAGGGCAAUGAAAUCGUAUGAAACAUCGUACAGCCAACCAGAACCGACACGGGGUAUGGGCCGGUGUAUCCGGUUCCUCUGAUUGGUCGGAGAGGUGGCUGUGAAGCGACAACUCCUGUAAGAACACCGAAGGCACUGGGCGUUGCCUCAUGGCUGUCCGACCGUCACAGACCGACAGACCAGCGUAGGAACCUAGCCCUACUGUAGUGUUUAGUAGCUGACCAGAGAACGUCUCAGACCAACAGACCAGUGUAGGAACCUAGCCCUACUGUAGUGUUUAGUAGCUGACCAGAGAGCGUCACAGACCAACAGACCAGUGCAGGAACCUAGCCCUACUGUAGUGUUUAGUAGCUGACCAGAGAACGUCUCAGACCAACAGACCAGCGUAGGAAGCUAGCCCUACUGUAGUGUUUAGUAGCUGACCAGAGAACGUCACAGACCAACAGACCAGUGUAGGAACCUAUCCCUACUGUAGUGUUUAGUAGCUGACCAGAGAACGUCUCAGACCAACAGACCAGUGUAGGAAGCUAGCCCUACUGUAGUGUUUAGUAGCUGACCAGAGAACGUCUCAGACCAACAGACCAGCGCAGGAAGCUAGCCCUACUGUAGUGUUUAGUAGCUGACCAGAGAACGUCUCAGACCAACAGACCAGUGUAGGAACCUAGCCCUACUGUAGUGUUUAGUAGCUGACCAGAGAACGUCCGAUCGCUGUGAGCCUGGCAGUGCGUAGUUCACGUUCUACGAAGUCGUAGAGCACGAAAAGUGUCUGUAUAAAAAUGUAGCCCCUUUGGUUUCCUCUCCUGUCCGCUGAUAUCACCACGGCAACAUGAGACUCCUCCCCUUCCUCGGCAGAGAGGGCGGGUCCAGGGAGUUUGAGCUGGAAGACAAGAUGUGAGAAU
ensembl:lncRNA